UGAUUACAAAAAAAAUAAAAAUAAAAAAUCAUAGUAAAAUUUGACAUUGAUGUUGAUAUAAAUAAUAUAAUAUAAAAAAUUAAAAAUAAAGUAUAAAUUAUAAACGUUCAAAAAUCAUCUUCAACGUUUAUCUACUGAACAAUUUAUUGCAAACAAGAAUUUUAGUGUCGAGGAUUUGAAACCGUAGGGCGCGCGGCGCCGACGUCGCAUUAAUUGCUUCGAAGAAUCUAUAUACAUUUCCUUAAUUUCUCCCAGAAGUGAGAACUGGGCCCCGAGGGUGGAACGGGACGGGUCAGGUACUCUGGCUUCUGCCCCGACGACCGGAGCGGAUCAAGGGCGACCCGCCCUAAUUAUCUACCAAAUAAAAAAAAAUAAAAAAAUUUAUAAUUCUAUAUAAACCUGAAAAAUGAAGUAAUGAAUUAUAAAUAAUUAUAAAUUAAACAUAUCAGUAGUAAGGCCACUAUAUGUCUAAAAAUCGAUCUUGGGUUUCUUUAAAGAUUUGAUUUAUAGUUUAUAAAAAAAAUAAAGAAUGAAAAUGAUGAAAAAUAAAAGAAUAUAUCAGUAAGAUAGUAAUUACUAACUUAUGGAAUAACUUAGUAUUCCGGAUGCACGGCUGCGGUUCUAGAUAUUAGAUAUUAAGUUUUGCGUCACGGGGCAGCGGGGCAUUAGAUAUUAAUAUAGGUAUAAGGUAUUAGAUAUUAAUAUUUUAUUGUUAGAUAGACCCUAGCAUAGGGAUAUAGGAUAGGUCAUAGGAUCAUAUGAAAUUAGGAACUUGCCCCGAGACCCUUUUCAUCUUUAAUUUCUCCCCUUUCAAAUUCUAAUUCAAUUAAAUAAUUCGAAAUAUUGAGUUGUGAAUUUGCUUCUCUAGCUAGCUAGCAUCAUAAGAACCCUUAAAAAUAUCUAACGUCAAUCUUUGAUUUUCUUUCAAUUUGCUUUUUCCAUCAUGUUGAUUUUCAACAUAAUAGAAGGGUUUGUUUUUCAACCUUUUGGACUCACCAUAGCACAUACACUGUUGGCGGACAGAUUGAAUUCCUUGACGCACCGGCAUGGAGGCUCCAAUGGACAUUAACGGCAGUCGCGUGUGGCAUGGUUAAUCUGGAAGGAAAAAAACAACAGAACAAAGAUAAACUGACAAUGAUCUACUUUGUAAUUGAUAUUAAAGUACCAACAUUUUUGCGUUUUAAAAUAUGAUUAAGUGGAUGGAUCUAGGACUAUAAGAUGUAGCGUUCAAUAAUAAUAAAUUGAAUAAUAUGUAGCGUUCUAAAUCUAAUCUAAUUAUUGUUGAUUAAAAAGAUAAAAUAAUAAUAAAUUUGAAAAUAACAUUUUUGUUUUAUAGCGCGUGCGUGUCUGUGCGCAGUGCAAGUUUGAAAGUUUGAAUCUUUUAUUCAGAAAACGACAAAAAUCUCAUGUGUUGUAAUCUUUGUCGUUAUGCAUGUGUUGUAAUCUUUGUCGUUAUGCAUGUGUUGUAAUAAGCUGGAAAAAAACCAAGAAUCAACAAGUGAUUGAAAUGAUUGCUUAGAAACACCCUCGUUAUUUCCAAAUGAAUCCGCUCUUACACACUUAGAUCAAGUCGUGGGUUGAUAAAUUAUUAUAAAUAGCCACUAAGAUUGAUCCAAGUAGCUAGGAUUAAAUAUUGUGUGAAUUGAAUUGGAGAAGAUAUGGUAAGGGCUCCUUGCUGCGAGAAGAUCGGAUUGAAGAAAGGCUCAUGGACUGCUGAAGAAGACAUGAUACUCAUGCUUCAUAUCCAGAGAUAUGGUCAUGCAAACUGGAGAUCUCUUCCCAGACAAGCAGGUAAUUGGUUCUUGCUUGCUUGCCUUUUAAUUUCAUCGAUCGAUCACCAAUUUAAUUGCUUAUUGAGUUAGUUGUUUAUAUAUAUGUAGGAUUGUUUCGAUGUGGAAAGAGUUGCAGACUGCGCUGGAUUAAUUACUUGAGACCUGAUCUCAAGAGAGGAAACUUCACCGUGGAAGAAGAAGAGACGAUCAUCAAGUUACACCAAAAAUUUGGAAACCGAUGGUCUGCAAUAGCGGCGGAGCUUCCAGGCAGAACGGAUAAUGAGAUCAAGAACGUAUGGCACACUUACCUCAAGAAACGAUUGAUGAAUGAUGAUAAGAAACCUGCAGUUGGAACAAUGGGAAGGAAAUCCAGAAAUAAAAAUGAUCAUAUCCCGGUGGACUUUCAGACGAAUCUCAU
rnacentral:lncRNA from 1 species